rnacentral:rRNA from 1 species
CCUACGGGAGGCAGCAGUGAGGAAUAUUGGUCAAUGGACGAGAGUCUGAACCAGCCAAGUAGCGUGAAGGAUGACUGCCCUAUGGGUUGUAAACUUCUUUUAUAUGGGAAUAAAAUGUUCCACGUGUGGGAUUUUGUAUGUACCAUAUGAAAAAGGAUCGGCUAACUCCGUGCCAGCAGCCGCGGUAAUACGGAGGAUCCGAGCGUUAUCCGGAUUUAUUGGGUUUAAAGGGAGCGUAGGUGGAUUGUUAAGUCAGUUGUGAAAGUUUGCGGCUCAACCGUAAAAUUGCAGUUGAAACUGGCAGUCUUGAGUACAGUAGAGGUGGGCGGAAUUCGUGGUGUAGCGGUGAAAUGCUUAGAUAUCACGAAGAACUCCGAUUGCGAAGGCAGUUCACUGGACUGCAACUGACACUGAGGCUCGAAAGUGUGGGUAUCAAACAGGAUUAGAUACCCGUGUAGUC